AGCACACGCUAACCAGCGAACACCAAAGAAAAAGGUUAUCAGAUUGACAAACUAAUAGGGAGUCUGGAACUCGAGCCUAAUAGUUGUCACACAAACACAAAGAGACGCUGAGACGUCAAAAGAAACAAAAAGGUUGAAAAAGAAAAAAAAAAGUGCCCGGAGAGAUCUCGCUCGAUCUCCUGCCUACGUAUCUCAUCUGGUAUGAGAAUCAGGGCGACGUAGUUCUCCUUAACAGGGGAAAGGAGACAACAAACUAAUAGGGAGGCUAAGACUCGAGCCUAAUAGUUGUCAUGCAAACAAAAAGAGACGUUGAGACGUCAAAAGAAACAAAAAGGUUGAAAAAGAAAAAGGGUGCCCGGAGAGAUCUCGCUCGAUCUCCUGCCUACGUAUCUCAUCUGGUAUGAGAAUCAGGGCGACGUAGUUCGCCUUAACAGGGGAAAGGAGACAACAAACUAAUAGGGAGACUAAGACUCGAGCCUAAUAGUUG
rnacentral:lncRNA from 1 species